rnacentral:tRNA from 1 species
GCGCCAGUGUUGUAGGGGGUAUCAUGCAAGAUUCCCAUUCUUGCGACCGGGUUCGAUUCCCGGCUGGCGCA